rnacentral:rRNA from 1 species
AAGGCGUUAAGGUUAAUAACCUUGGCGAUUGACGUUACCCGCAGAAGAAGCACCGGCUAACUCCGUGCCAGCAGCCGCGGUAAUACGGAGGGUGCAAGCGUUAAUCGGAAUUACUGGGCGUAAAGCGCACGCAGGCGGUCUGUCAAGUCGGAUGUGAAAUCCCCGGGCUCAACCUGGGAACUGCAUUCGAAACUGGCAGGCUAGAGUCUUGUAGAGGGGGGUAGAAUUCCAGGUGUAGCGGUGAAAUGCGUAGAGAUCUGGAGGAAUACCGGUGGCGAAGGCGGCCCCC